rnacentral:rRNA from 1 species
AUGAACGCUGGCGGCGUGCCUCAUACAUGCAAGUCGAGCGAACAGACGAGGAGCUUGCUCCUCUGACGUUCGCGGCGGACGGGUGAGUAACACGUGGAUAACCUACCUAUAAGACUGGGAUAACUUCGGGAAACCGGAGCUAAUACCGGAUAAUAUAUUGAACCGCAUGGUUCAAUAGUGAAAGACGGUUUUGCUGUCACUUAUAGAUGGAUCCGCGCCGCAUUAGCUAGUUGGUAAGGUAACGGCUUACCAAGGCAACGAUGCGUAGCCGACCUGAGAGGGUGAUCGGCCACACUGGAACUGAGACACGGUCCAGACUCCUACGGGAGGCAGCAGUAGGGAAUCUUCCGCAAUGGGCGAAAGCUUGACGGAGCAACGCCGCGUGAGUGAUGAAGGUCUUCGGAUCGUAAAACUCUGUUAUUAGGGAAGAACAAAUGUGUAAGUAACUAUGCACGUCUUGACGGUACCUAAUCAGAAAGCCACGGCUAACUACGUG